CCUACGGGAGGCAGCAGUAGGGAAUCUUCCACAAUGGACGAAAGUCUGAUGGAGCAACGCCGCGUGAGUGAUGAAGGUUUUCGGAUCGUAAAACUCUGUUGUAAGGGAAGAACAAGUACGAGAGGGAAUGCUCGUACCUUGACGGUACCUUGCGAGAAAGCCGCGGCUAACUACGUGCCAGCAGCCCGGUAAUACGUAGGUGGCAAGCGUUGUCCGGAAUUAUUGGGCGUAAAGCGCGCGCAGGCGGCCUUUUAAGUCUGAUGUGAAAGCCCCCGGCUCAACCGGGGAGGGUCAUUGGAAACUGGAAGGCUUGAGUACAGAAGAGAAGAGUGGAAUUCCAUGUGUAGCGGUGAAAUGCGUAGAGAUGUGGAGGAACACCAGUGGCGAAGGCGACUCUUUGGUCUGUAAACUGACGCUGAGGCGCGAAAGCGUGGGGAGCAAACAGGAUUAGAUACCCUGGUAGUCCACGCCGUAAACGAUGAGUGNGUAGUGGUUGGGGUUCCGGUCCCGUCCACGUGCUGAGACUAACGACAUUAAGUACACUCCGCCGUCGGGAGGUACGGCCGGCGAACGGACGUGAAACGUACAAAUAGAAGUUAGUACGGCGUGAGACGUAGCCGAACGGACGACCGACCGAGGGGAGGUUAGGGAG
rnacentral:rRNA from 1 species